AGAGUUUGAUCCUGGCUCAGAUUGAACUCUGGCGGCAGGCCUAACACAUGCAAGUCGAACGGUAACAGGAAGCAGCUUGCUGCUUCGCUGACGAGUGGCGGACGGGUGAGUAAUGUCUGGGAAACUGCCUGAUGGAGGGGGAUAACUACUGGAAACGGUAGCUAAUACCGCAUAACGUCGCAAGACCAAAGAGGGGGACCUUCGGGCCUCUUGCCAUCGGAUGUGCCCAGAUGGGAUUAGCUUGUUGGUGGGGUAACGGCUCACCAAGGCGACGAUCCCUAGCUGGUCUGAGAGGAUGACCAGCCACACUGGAACUGAGACACGGUCCAGACUCCUACGGGAGGCAGCAGUGGGGAAUAUUGCACAAUGGGCGCAAGCCUGAUGCAGCCAUGCCGCGUGUAUGAAGAAGGCCUUCGGGUUGUAAAGUACUUUCAGCGGGGAGGAAGGGAGUAAAGUUAAUACCUUUGCUCAUUGACGUUACCCGCAGAAGAAGCACCGGCUAACUCCGUGCCAGCAGCCGCGGUAAUACGGAGGGUGCAAGCGUUAAUCGGAAUUACUGGGCGUAAAGCGCACGCAGGCGGUUUGUUAAGUCAGAUGUGAAAUCCCCGGGCUCAACCUGGGAACUGCAUCUGAUACUGGCAAGCUUGAGUCUCGUAGAGGGGGGUAAAAUUCCAGGUGUAGCGGUGAAAUGCGUAGAGAUCUGGAGGAAUACCGGUGGCGAAGGCGGCCCCCUGGACGAAGACUGACGCUCAGGUGCGAAAGCGUGGGGAGCAAACAGGAUUAGAUACCUUGGUAGUCCACGCCGUAAACGAUGUCGACUUGGAGGUUGUGCCCUUGAGGCGUGGCUUCCGGAGCUAACGCGUUAAGUCGACCGCCUGGGGAGUACGGCCGCAAGGUUAAAACUCAAAUGAAUUGACGGGGGCCCGCACAAGCGGUGGAGCAUGUGGUUUAAUUCGAUGCAACGCGAAGAACCUUACCUGGUCUUGACAUCCACGGAAGUUUUCAGAGAUGAGAAUGUGCCUUCGGGAACCGUGAGACAGGUGCUGCAUGGCUGUCGUCAGCUCGUGUUGUGAAAUGUUGGGUUAAGUCCCGCAACGAGCGCAACCCUUAUCCUUUGUUGCCAGCGGUCCGGCCGGGAACUCAAAGGAGACUGCCAGUGAUAAACUGGAGGAAGGUGGGGAUGACGUCAAGUCAUCAUGGCCCUUACGACCAGGGCUACACACGUGCUACAAUGGCGCAUACAAAGAGAAGCGACCUCGCGAGAGCAAGCGGACCUCAUAAAGUGCGUCGUAGUCCGGAUUGGAGUCUGCAACUCGACUCCAUGAAGUCGGAAUCGCUAGUAAUCGUGGAUCAGAAUGCCACGGUGAAUACGUUCCCGGGCCUUGUACUCACCGCCCGUCA
rnacentral:rRNA from 1 species